CUUUGUCAUUUUAGCCUAUAUAGCACAUGAAUUUGGUCUAAGUCCAACUAAACUCUCCUAAUAUAUAUGAAUAUGAAUUUGAUGUUGUCAUAUGAAUAUUAGUUUGUAACUUGUUGGAGGCUUAAUAUGAUUUUCUUUGUGUAAAUAUAUGAUAUUUAUAUGUAAUUCUUGGGUAUACCAGCGGGUGCGGGUUACCCGUCGGGUAGAAAUUACCCGUGGGUGCGGGUAUGGAAUUAUUUUCCUACCCAUGUGCGGGUACGGGUAACCCGACGGAUUAAAUUUAGACUUCGCGGCUAUGGGUACGGGUGGCCACUACCCAUCAGGUACGUACCCGUUGCCAUCUAUAGUGCCAGCUAUGAGCCCGAUUGUACUAGUGGACCCCGAAUGUGUGUGAUGUGUUUUUUACAUAGCGAAGUAUAAAGACCGCAACUGACUUUUACUAUUUCCUUUAAUCAAAUAAGUUUACCCGUUCUCAAGUUUAAUUAGGUUGUACCGUGCUUGUUUGAAGUGGUGCUCAGAAAUCGUGGAGCGAUGCAUGUGUCAGGAUGCGAUGCCAGCUUUAUUAAAAAAAAUCAUUUCCUUGCGGCUGGAGCGAGCAUGUAACAGGAAAUAUAGUCAGGCAAGUGAUCUUUUUUAUGUGUAACUGGUUGGUUCCACGUGGGUCCGAGAGUGAUGCUCACCACUGCGACGUUUCUUUUUUUUUUUUUUGAUCAGCACUGCGACGUUUCAAGCACCCGAUGCCAAAAAUUGAAGUGUACACUUUUUUCGUAGCAUCAAUAUGAACACUGCGGAAGGCCUUAGAACCGAAAGUAACCAUUUUACCUUUUUAUAUUAACAUGUGUAUAACGCAGAUUCACAACGCACAUACAUCAUUUCAAAAAACACAUGUAUAUAAAUUUUAUCCCUAUGACCAUUUUCGAAGAACUAAGUCAAUAGAUCACGAGAUUCACGAUGUCAUCAUGCAUAAACGUCUUAUUGUCAACGAGGACAUUGCCUACCACUCAAAGCAUAGCGUUGUUAAAUCCUAGAAAACACUCACAGCACACACUCACCCCACCCCUAUGAACACACGUAAGCAAACCUUACUCCUAUAAGUAUCUCCGAAGGAUUGAGUCGACAGAUCACGAGAUUCACGAAGUCACCAUAUAGGCGCCUCACCGUCGAUAGGGACGGCAGCUAACACUAUAGAACAAAUCUAGGAAAAUACGAGCACCCAUACCAAAUUGAGGACUAUGCAAGUACUCGUGCCAAGUCAAGGAUUUAAACCUAGAUAAACAAGUUUCAUGACAACGAACUCAACCAGUUGAUCUAUACUCUCGUACUUCGCUUUAAUAUAAUUUCGUGAUGUAUUCCCUUUAAUUUUUGAGUUAGUCAAAAUAGGCACUAACUAGUCCUCAACCUUUGAGACCUACUCUCCUACUCCCUUUGUUCCAUUAUCAUUUUUGACUUUUAGGUAUUAUUUAACCAUUUGUUUUAGUUAACUUUUUUACAGUUACAAAAUAAAUAAAUCAUUGCUAAAGUAUUUUUAAUGAUAAAAUAAAUUAUAAUAAAAUAGAUUAUAUAUAUAAUUUUUAAAUAAGACGAACAGUCAAAUAAAUGAUAUGAAGUCAAAGUACGUGGUAGUAUCGAGUAAGAGCCUGUUUGAUUCCUCUUGAUUUUUUAACUUCUAUCACAUCAAAUAUUCAAACGGUGUAUAUUAAAUAUAUACUAUUUACAAAACUAAAUUUUUUAGAUAAAUCUUAAGCAUAAUUAAUUUAUAAUUAAAUAUUAAUUAUCAAAUAAAGAGAAAAUAUUAUAGUACAUAUUGAAUUUUAACAUUCUGAACCAAACAUCCUCUGUCUGGAACUGCUUGGAAGAUCCGAUCCAAAUCGAACAGCACGCAAGCCAUGUUGAGUGCCGAUCCCUUUUAAUUGUCUUGUGCUACUCCUAGUCCUAGAUGCCUAGCUAGAUGCUCAUGUGGUGUACGUACUUCCUCCGUUUUUCGUUGUUUUCACUUUUCAAAAAAUAACUUUGACUAAAUAUAUAUUAAAAAAAUAAUAUUUACAAUAUACAAUUAGUAUUAUUGAAAAAAUAUUUUAAUCUAGUUUUUUAAUAAAUUUAUUUAGAGAUAAAAAUAUUACAUAUAUUUUUUAUAAAUUAAGUUAAAGUUAUUAAUAUAUAAAUUAUAGCGAUAAAUAUUUAAGGACAAAGAGAGUAUAUUGUCUUUAGCAGGUCGAUCAUCAAAGUGUUUUCUUGACACUUCACACUAACGGGGUGUUCAAGUAUCGUAGCAUUUUUAUUUUAUUUGACAAUUAGUGUCUAAUUAUAAACUAAUUAGGUUUAAAAGAUUUGUCUUGUAAAUUACUCUUUAGCUGUAUUUCUAGUUUCAUAAAUAAUCUAUAUAUAUUUAGUACUAUAUGUAUGUGUUCAAACAUUCUAUGUGACUGACGAUAAAGUUUAUCAAAGAGAACCAAAUGGGGCCUAAGGCCUUAGUUGCACCCAAGAUAACCUUUUUAAGAUUUCUCGUCACAUUGAAUCUUUGAUACAUGUAUGGAGCAUUAAAUAUAAAUAAAAAAUAAUUAAUUAUAUAUUUUAUCUGUAAUUUACGAAAUAAAUAUUUUAAAUCUAGUUAGUCUAUGAUUAAAUAACAAUUACCAAAAUAAAAUACUAGAAUACUCAAAUCAAAACAAUUUUGGAUCUUAACAAGACCAAAACUGUUCGUCGUCUACGGUUUAUCCGUCGGGAUGGAUGUGUGUUCGGUUGGUUCGACGGACGACAGGGCAGUGCUCUCCAGCGGUGGCUACAAGGCUAUCUUCAAUAUAGGAAACUUAUUUCACAAUCCAAAUUUAAAAUAAGUAUUUAACACAAUACUUAUAGCUUCUAGUAGAGUACCUAUAUAGAAGACCUAUUUUGGAUAUUAGGAUGUAACGUCCAGCCUCUACAAAGCCGGGUCCGCUUACAUCUGACAGUUUUUUCUAGAACGUAGUCAACCCUCACAGACCAACACCAGUCUUUUUUAUACACUUUGUCCUCCCAGAAAAUACUUCUCGGUCGGUCACUUCUUUGGAGAUGGGCUUCCGGAAAAGAAGUUGCAACUUGUUGAUAUGAGUCUCCUAUUAAUCCUAUUACAUAGGAGAGGCAUAACUUGGGUAUUGUCUCUCCUCAAGACCUAUUUGCAGAGAGUGCUGUCUUUUAGGUCUUGUUGUUGAAGAAGACUAAAAAUAGAUAUGGAACCUUUUACCUCUAGCGUUAUCCAAAGGACAAAUGGAUCUUGUAUUUUGGGUGACGAUUGUUGGAGCUAGUCUAGGCCUUGUUUAGUUCACCCCAAAACCUAAAAACUUUAGAAAGAUUUCUUAUUAUAUUGAAUCUUACAGCAUAUGUAUGAAACAUUGAAUAUAGAUAAAAAAUAACUAAUUGCAUAAUUUCUCUAUAAUUUAUAAGAUGAAUCUUUUGAACCUAAUUAGUCUAUAGAUGAAAAAUAAUUACCAAAUAAAAACGAAAAUAUUAUAGUAUGCAAAAAUAUUUCACCUCCUCAACUAAACAAAAGGCCUUACUAGUUGGAGUAGGAGUACUAGGAGUAGCCCUGGCGACCCACUUUAAAGUUUAGCUUCUUUGACAUCAUAUAUCCGAACACAUACAUAGAAUAUCAAAUAUAAAUUAAAAUAAUAAUAUUAAUUAAUUGUACUUGCAACUAAUUUGCUAGAUGAAUUUUUAAGCAUAAUUAGUCUAUAAUUUUUCAAUAUGAUGCUACAAUAAAUAGGUUGCUAAUGAUAGAUUAAUUAGAUUUAAUAAAUUUGUCUUGUAGAUUAGGACUUAUGUAAUUUAUUUUAUUAUUACUAUUCAACCCCAUGUGACAUUCGACGUGAUAUUCCUAAACUUUAGUUUGUCGAUUUAAACACCCGGCUUGGUAUGAAUGCAGGGACUAGAGUUUAGGAGAUGUUCCUGGUGUCGUAUGAGGUAUUCAGAUAGUAAUAAAAAGCUCAAUUAAUCUGUUAUGAGCACAUAUUUACUAUAGUAUCAUAUUGUCAAAUCAGAUGCGUUCUGAUUUGAUUUGGGCCUUGUUUAGGCCUUGUUUACCUCCUCAACAAAAAUUUUUCGGGACACUGUAGCACUUUCGUUUGUUUGUGGUAAUUAUUGUCCAAUCAUGGACUAACUAUGAUCAAAAGAUUUGUCUCGUAAAUUUCGACCAAACUGUGUAAUUAGUUUUUAAUUUCAUUUAUAUUUAAUACUUCAUGCAUGCGUCUAAAAAUUUGAUGUGACGGAGAAUCUUAAAAAGUUUUUGGAUUUUGAGUGGAAGUAAACACAGCCUAAUUAGUUCUAAAAAAUUCUGCAAAAAAUUUUAGAUUUUAUGUCACAUCGAAUCUUACGACGCAUAUAUGGAGCAUUAAAUAUAAAUAAAAAUAAUAACUAAUAGCACAGUUUGCCUGUAAUUUGUGAGAUAAAUCUUUUGAGUCUAGUUAGUUCAUAAUUGAAUAAUAUUUGUUAAAUACAAAUAAAAAUACUACGAUAUUCAUUUUGUAAUUUUUUUUGAACUAAACAAGGCCUUGUUUUGAUGCGGCAAAGUAAUAAAGUCUCUUUCAUCCGGAUCUAAGGCGGAUUGCGCCAUCGCGUACUGUCGCUUGCAUGUAGGGGUCGGAACUAUAGUGCAGUAGCCGUGAUCUGUGAAAGGUAGUAGCGAUAUGAUUCUGUGCACUUUGGUAAUUUGGCUUUUUGGAGUGAUAUAUACGCGCGAACAGGAGUCUGUGGAUGUAGUGGAGAUGAUGAUGCAUGACGUACGCCUGAGAGUGACGUUUCACACAUUUGGCAGCCUGGCAAAGGCAUCGAAUCUUUGUUCGCACGCAUAGAGCACUAAAUAUAUAUGAAAAUAAAAACUAAUUACACAGUUUAUCUAUAAUUUGUGAGAUGAAUCUUUUAAAUCUAGUUACUCCGUGAUUGGACAAUGUUUAUCAAAUAAAAACGAAAUGCUACAGUAGGCAAAAAUAAAAAAUUUUGCCAACUAAACAAGGCUUUUUGGGCGAAAUUUUUUCGCGGCACUGUAGCACUUUUGUUUGUUUGUGGUAGUUAUUGUCCAAUCAUGGACUAACUAGGCUCAAAAGAUUCGUCUCGUAAAUUUCGACCAAACUGUGCAAUUAGUUUUUAAUUUUGUUUAUAUUUAAUACUCCAUGCAUGUGUCUAAAGAUUCGAUGUGACGGGGAAUCUUAAAAAGUUUUUGGAUUUUGGGUGGAAGUAAACAAGGCCAAAAUGGUUACUACGCCGCUAGCUUCCGGGAAGUUUCCUUGGCUCCAAUUCAUCCUACAGUAAUUAGUCCUCACAUUGAAUAUUUAAACACAUGUAUUAAAUAUAAAUUAUUUACAAAACUAAAAACACAGCUAAAAAGUAAUUUGUGAGAUGAAUCUUUUAAGUUUAAUUGAUUUAUGAUUGGACACUAGUUAUCAAAUAAAAUAAAAUGCUAUAUUAUCUGUUAAACUUUAGCAUACCAAACCAAGCACCCCUUAAUUUCAUUUCGAGAACAAUUACGAAAACUACAUCGCGCGCUAUCAUGCAUGCAGCCGCUUCCCGUCGUCCCGUGCAGUCAGUCAUCACGCGAGCGAGCGCGGUGCACAUGCAUGCAUGUUGACGAUGUACGGUACCGGCAAGUAGUCCACAGCCUGCCCACACGUUACGUUAACUAGAGCUUGGACGUGGGCCGUGGCGAUUGAGGGCGGGUCAUGGCAAGACCAUUUAAUUUGGACGACCCAAAGCAUGACACGGCAUGAAAAAUUUUGGACCAUGUUGGCACAACAUGAAUAUGAAGGUCAUGUCGUACCCAAAAUAUCCAUACAGCGGGCUACAUGUCCCAACCCGUAUUUUGGGCCGUGCUUACGCCGACACGACCCAAAAAUAGAACGUAGAUAUUUCUACAACUAUACAAUAUAAUUUUCUAGCAUUUACUAUAUUAUCUCUCAUCUAAUUCUUCAAUAGAUUUGAAAAUUAUUAAAACUUUUAUUAAAAUAGUACACAUAAGAUAUAUAUAUAUAUAUAUAUAUAUAUAUAUAUAUAUAUAUAACCCAUCAAAAUAACUAGCCACCUUUGUCAUUUUAGCCUAUAUAGCACAUGAAUUUGGUCUAAGUCCAACUAAACUCUCCUAAUAUAUAUGAAUAUGAAUUUGAUGUUGUCAUAUGAAUAUUAGUUUGUAACUUGUUGGAGGCUUAAUAUGAUUUUCUUUGUGUAAAUAUAUGAUAUUUAUAUGUAAUUCUUGGGUAUACCAGCGGGUGCGGGUUACCCGUCGGGUAGAAAUUACCCGUGGGUGCGGGUAUGGAAUUAUUUUCCUACCCAUGUGCGGGUACGGGUAACCCGACGGAUUAAAUUUAGACUUCGCGGCUAUGGGUACGGGUGGCCACUACCCAUCAGGUACGUACCCGUUGCCAUCUAUAGUGCCAGCUAUGAGCCCGAUUGUACUAGUGGACCCCGAAUGUGUGUGAUGUGUUUUUUACAUAGCGAAGUAUAAAGACCGCAACUGACUUUUACUAUUUCCUUUAAUCAAAUAAGUUUACCCGUUCUCAAGUUUAAUUAGGUUGUACCGUGCUUGUUUGAAGUGGUGCUCAGAAAUCGUGGAGCGAUGCAUGUGUCAGGAUGCGAUGCCAGCUUUAUUAAAAAAAAUCAUUUCCUUGCGGCUGGAGCGAGCAUGUAACAGGAAAUAUAGUCAGGCAAGUGAUCUUUUUUAUGUGUAACUGGUUGGUUCCACGUGGGUCCGAGAGUGAUGCUCACCACUGCGACGUUUCUUUUUUUUUUUUUUGAUCAGCACUGCGACGUUUCAAGCACCCGAUGCCAAAAAUUGAAGUGUACACUUUUUUCGUAGCAUCAAUAUGAACACUGCGGAAGGCCUUAGAACCGAAAGUAACCAUUUUACCUUUUUAUAUUAACAUGUGUAUAACGCAGAUUCACAACGCACAUACAUCAUUUCAAAAAACACAUGUAUAUAAAUUUUAUCCCUAUGACCAUUUUCGAAGAACUAAGUCAAUAGAUCACGAGAUUCACGAUGUCAUCAUGCAUAAACGUCUUAUUGUCAACGAGGACAUUGCCUACCACUCAAAGCAUAGCGUUGUUAAAUCCUAGAAAACACUCACAGCACACACUCACCCCACCCCUAUGAACACACGUAAGCAAACCUUACUCCUAUAAGUAUCUCCGAAGGAUUGAGUCGACAGAUCACGAGAUUCACGAAGUCACCAUAUAGGCGCCUCACCGUCGAUAGGGACGGCAGCUAACACUAUAGAACAAAUCUAGGAAAAUACGAGCACCCAUACCAAAUUGAGGACUAUGCAAGUACUCGUGCCAAGUCAAGGAUUUAAACCUAGAUAAACAAGUUUCAUGACAACGAACUCAACCAGUUGAUCUAUACUCUCGUACUUCGCUUUA
rnacentral:lncRNA from 1 species